rnacentral:tRNA from 1 species
UCUAAUAUGGCAGACUAGUGCAAUGGAUUUAAGCCCCAUUUAUAAAGACCCCCUUUUUUUAGAA